rnacentral:rRNA from 1 species
GACGAACGCUGGCGGCGUGCUUAACACAUGCAAGUCGAGCGGAGCUGCGAACGGGUGAGUAACGCGUGAGUAACUGCCCCCCGCCCGGGGAUAACAGAUGGAAACGGCUACCAAUACCGGAUAGUGUGGGAUGAUUGGCGUCCAAUCGGCUUGUUGGUUGGGUAGCUGCCUACCGAGGCGACGACGGGUAGCCGGCCUGAGAGGGGGACCAGCCACAAUGGGCUGCGAGACGGACCAGAGUCCAACGGGGGGCAGUGGUGGGGAAUCUUGCGCAGUGAGGGCAACCCUGAUGAAGCAGCGCCGCGGGCGUAAUGUCGGCCUUCGGGUUGGAAACCGCUUUCAGCUAUGACGCGGUAGUGGCAGAAGAAGCACCGGCUAACUACGUGCCAGCAGCCGCGGUAAUUC